CCCAGCACUUUGGGAGGCCGAGGUGGGCGGAUCCCUUGACGUCAGGAGUUUGAGACCACUCUGGCCAACAUGGUGAAACCCUGUCUCUACUAAAAAUAUAAAAUUUAGCUGGGCGUGGUGGUGCGUGCCUGUAAUCCCAGCUACUCCAGAAGCUGAGGCAAGAGAAUCGCUUGAACCCAGGAGGCGGAGGUUGCAGUGAGCCAAGAUCACACCACUGCACUCCAGCCUGGGUGAGCGACAGAGGGAGACUCGGAGUUGCAAAGACAGAAAAAAGAAAAUGGAAACCAAAAUGAGCCUUGAAAAAUUAGUAAGACUGGAUUAAAAAGGAGAGAAGACAGCAUGCAAGGGAAAAGUACUUAAGCUGACUGGAUGACAAGAGGACUUCAUGACGAAAGAAGAAGUUGCUUUCAAGGUGGAGAAUUCCCAAAUCACUAAACUGCCUAUUACAAUACUAUCCUGAGACAGGGAAGUGAAAGGUCUUGGUCCUGGAAGAGCCCUGCCACGCCCCCUGUGAAGUCACUGGCCCAAAGGUGGGCCAGGAAACACAUUUCCACUCCUUUACACAGUGAGUUGCCCCAGAAAUGUGAGUGUGAAGCCAUGUUGGUUCUAUCAGCCCCAGCUGAGGUCUCAGAUGAAAGCAGCCACCUGAGUGAUCCCAGAUGACAACACAUGGCGAAGAAGGACUGCCCAGCUAAACCCGCCUGCCACACAGAAUUAUGAGAAAACUGAUACCCAAGGAAAUGAAGUGAGUCUCCCAACAUCAAAAUACAGCUUGGAGCCUACAUCUCCGGUUUACAAAUAUCAGACCACAUGCCAGUGCCCAUUCAUGAAGAAAAUGAAAACAACCAAAACAACAACAAAAAACCCCACAGUGCAAUGCCGUAAAUUCUGCAUAAAGCUAAGGUAUUCUAUUUAAAUAUCUAAUAUUAAUUUGAGAUUCCUAAAGGGGGAUGUAUAUAUGUGGUUAUGUAUGUGAAAAUGUCCUUUAAUUUAUGAAAUGAUUCUGACAUGUAAUAUGCUUUUUAAUGUACUUAUUUAACAAAAUUAAAGGGUUGAUAACUGUAUUAUGUUGAUCUUCAAAAUAAAAAAAAAAUUUUGCUGGUUC
rnacentral:lncRNA from 10 species